rnacentral:rRNA from 1 species
AGAGUUUGAUCCUGGCUCAGGACGAACGCUGGCGGCGUGCCUAAUACAUGCAAGUCGAGCGCAGGAAGCAAGCUGAUCCCCUUCGGGGGUGACGCUGGUGGAAUGAGCGGCGGACGGGUGAGUAACACGUGGGCAACCUGCCUGUAAGACUGGGAUAACCCCGGGAAACCGGGGCUAAUACCGGAUAAUACUUUCUUUUGCAUAAAGGAAAGUUGAAAGGCGGCUUCGGCUGUCACUUACAGAUGGGCCCGCGGCGCAUUAGCUAGUUGGUGAGGUAACGGCUCAUCAAGGCGACGAUGCGUAGCCGACCUGAGAGGGUGAUCGGCCACACUGGGACUGAGACACGGCCCAGACUCCUACGGGAGGCAGCAGUAGGGAAUCUUCCGCAAUGGACGAAAGUCUGACGGAGCAACGCCGCGUGAGUGAUGAAAGUUUUCGGAUCGUAAAACUCUGUUGUUAGGGAANAACAAGUUGGGGUAGUAACUGACCCAACCUUGACG